rnacentral:rRNA from 1 species
AGAGUUUGAUCAUGGCUCAGGACGAACGCUGGCGGCGUGCUUAACACAUGCAAGUCGAACGGUGAAGCCCUUCGGGGUGGAUCAGUGGCGAACGGGUGAGUAACACGUGAGCAAUCUGCCCUUGACUCUGGGAUAACUUCGGGAAACCGGAGCUAAUACCGGAUAUGACACAUGGCCGCAUGGUUUGUGUGUGGAAAGAUUUAUCGGUCAAGGAUGAGCUCGCGGCCUAUCAGCUUGUUGGUGGGGUAAUGGCCUACCAAGGCGACGACGGGUAGCCGGCCUGAGAGGGCGACCGGCCACACUGGGACUGAGACACGGCCCCAGACUCCUACGGGAGGCAGCAGUGGGGAAUAUUGCGCAAUGGGCGAAAGCCUGACGCAGCGACGCCGCGUGAGGGAUGAAGGCCUUCGGGUCGUAAACCUCUUUCAGCAGGGAAGAAGCGAAAGUGACGGUACCUGCAGAAGAAGCACCGGCUAACUACGUGCCAGCAGCCGCGGUAAUACGUAGGGUGCAAGCGUUGUCCGGAAUUAUUGGGCGUAAAGAGCUCGUAGGCGGUCUGUCGCGUCUGCUGUGAAAACUCAGGGCUUAACCCUGAGCUUGCAGUGGGUACGGGCAGACUAGAGUGCGGUAGGGGAGACUGGAAUUCCUGGUGUAGCGGUGAAAUGCGCAGAUAUCAGGAGGAACACCGGUGGCGAAGGCGGGUCUCUGGGCCGUAACUGACGCUGAGGAGCGAAAGCAUGGGGAGCGAAAGGAUUAGAUACCCUAGUAGUCC